rnacentral:tRNA from 1 species
GGGGAUUUGGCUCAGUGGUAAAGCACUUGCCUAGCAAGCACAAGGCCCUGGGUUCGGUCCCCAGCUCCG